CACCCCCACCCACUGCCGCGUCCCCUCCCCCAUUCCCUCAGUCCCACCCCGCCCCCGCCCCUCUCCGGGCCGGGCGCUCCCCGCUGUCCGGCGCCGCACUCUGCGUUCGGCCGGGCUGACAGCUGCGAGGGGAGCGGGGGCUUGUCAGGCAGCCAACCCAGCCGAAUUUAGCUGCCUUAAUCUCUGCCCCUGAGCCAGUCCCCGCGGCCCACGAUAACGCCCUGUCCUGCCCAGCCGCCAGCAAGAGGCCCAGGCCCAAGUGCAGGGGACAGACAUGGGGACGUGGAUCCUGCUGCUGUUCUGCUGGGCCCUGCUGGGAGCAGCCAGUGCUGGUGAG